UACGUAGGGGGCAAGCGUUGUCCGGAAUCAUUGGGCGUAAAGAGCGUGUAGGCGGCUCGGUAAGUCCGCUCUGAAAGCCCGGGGCUCAACCCCGGGAGGCGGGCGGAUACUGUCGGGCUAGAGUCCGGAAGAGGCGAGUGGAAUUCCUGGUGUAGCGGUGAAAUGCGCAGAUAUCGGAAAGAACACCAACGGCGAAAGCACUCUGCUGGGCCGACACUGACACUGAGAGACGAAAGCUAGGGGAGCGAAUGGG
rnacentral:rRNA from 1 species